UGUGUGUGUGUGUGUGUGUGUGUGUGUGUGUGUGUGUGUGUGUGUGUGUGUGUGUGUGUGUGUGUGUGUGUGUGUGUGUGUGUGUGUGUGUGUGUGUGUGUGUGUAAUGUACAGUGUAAACUGUUUGUUAGUUUGAUUUUUCAGCUCUUGUGUGUAAACCUGCUGUUUUAUAACGAAAAUAAAAUGGUGCGACUGUG